GAUGAAGAACGCAGCGAAAUGCGAUAAGUAAUGUGAAUUGCAGAAUUCAGUGAAUCAUCGAAUCUUUGAACGCACAUUGCGCCCGUCAGUAUUCUGGCGGGCAUGCCUGUUCGAGCGUCAUUACGCCCCUCAAGUCCCCUGUGGACUUGGUGUUGGGGAUCGGCGAGGCUGGUUUUCCAGCACAGCCGUCCCUUAAAUUAAUUGGCGGUCUCGCCGUGGCCCUCCUCUGCGCAGUAGUAAAACACUCGCAACAGGAGCCCGGCGCGGUCCACUGCCGUAAAACCCCCCAACUUUUUAUAGUUGACCUCGAAUCAGGUGGGACUACCCGCUGAACUUAAGCAUAUCAAUAAGCGGAGGA
rnacentral:misc_RNA from 1 species